rnacentral:lncRNA from 1 species
GUUACACUGGUGUCAGAAGUGGGAUGUCAAUUCUUCCAGACAUCCCGUGAUCGUACCCAUAGCCAAUUCGGGAUUAUUUUAGCUUCGACGUGUGGUGGAAUAUGUAAAUAAUAAAUUUGUAAAUAACGUUUCCAGUUACUGUUUUUAUCGUAUUUUGCGUUGUUCCGUUACCGUUGUAUUUAUGAAUUAAAAUUUAGAUGAACGUUUAAACGACAGUAUUUUAACCCUGUAUGUAAUCAGUUUUAUAAAACAAAC